GAUGAAGAACGUAGUGAAAUGCGAUAAGUAGUGUGAAUUGCAGAAUUCAGUGAAUCAUCGAAUCUUUGAACGCACAUUGCGCCCCUUGGUAUUCCAUGGGGCAUGCCUGUUCGAGCGCCAUUUGUACCUUCAAGCUCUGCUUGGUGUUGGGUGUUUGUCUCGCCUCUGCGUGUAGACUCGCCUCAAAACAAUUGGCAGCCGGCGUAUUGAUUUCGGAGCGCAGUACAUCUCGCGCUUUGCACUCAUAACGACGACGUCCAAAAGUACAUUUUUACACUCUUGACCUCGGAUCAGGUAGGGAUACCCGCUGAACUUAAGCAUAUCAAUAAGCGGAGGA
rnacentral:misc_RNA from 1 species